CAAGAUAAACACAACAUCUUGACUGCAAUCUCAUGAGAAUCCCUGAGCCAGAGCUACCCAGCUAAGCUGCUC